rnacentral:misc_RNA from 1 species
AAACAUAUUUAAUGUAGCUAUUAAUUAUGGAUUUGAGACGAACCACCAAAUUCAAAAGGAACAAUGAAGAAGAAGAUAAGGAAAUGGCCUUUGAUGAUAAACAAGGAGUGAAAAUUGGGGAGAAAGGAUCAACAUCUACAGGUUCCGUGUACAGUCAUGGGAGACCUAUCAUUAGGGCUGAGAUCGAAAAAAUUAAUCGGAUACAGAACGGACACACAGUUUGACAUAACAUCCUACGGUCAAAGAUAACAGAGUUAUUAGCCAGUUCAACGGUUAAAAUAAAACAAGAGUCACACCUUAUCAUAUCUCCAGUACCCCUACAACUUUCUCCCAAAUUUUCUGUUCGCAUCCAUACCUCUUCAAAUCGAACUCUACGGACAAAUUACCGAAAAGGGUUCCUUUUUGUGGGCGUUUCCUGUUCUGUAUUCGGUGCUUUGGUCGAGAAAUACCCAAGAGAGUUGCUCCUGGAAUUGAGGAUCAGGUUCUGGAUUUUGAUUCUGGGAUUUGGAGAGCUGAGUCUCCCUUUCUGCUUUCUUGUUUUGGAUAGAGACUUUGUGCCAUGGAGGCUUAUAAAAGAUGGGUUAGGAGGAAUAAAGACUACGUGCACUCACUGGAAUCUCUUACCAAUGGAUUGACGUGGCUUCUUCCUGAGCGGUUUUCUGCUUCAGAGAUAGGACCAGAAGCAGGUUUUGUUAAACUUUGGUAACAUUUGGCUUCUUCUUUUAAGUUAAGGAUUUGUUGGGGCAUUUCCUUUUAAAAAAUCAUGGGAAUGGUGCUCAACUAAUAUAUGUGGUAUAUCAAAUUUUGUGUUUUUAUUUCAGUUCUGAUUUAAUGAUUAAUUAAAGUAAACCUGUGUCUGUUGGUUUGUUGAAUGUAAUUUUGUUGUUUUCUCAUACUCCAAAGGAUAAGGAGUUUUAAGUUUCACAUUUGAGUUCCCUUGCAGUUUCCAUUUCUCCCUUCCACCAAAUAACCAGGCUGGUUUAUUAGUUCAAUUUUUUUUUUUUCUCCUUCUUUGUAUUGCCUUAAAAUGUUGAAUUGAGCAACUUAGUGAUCUUGUGCAGUAACUGCUAUCUUGGGCAUAAUCACUGCUAUCAACGAGCAUAUAAUCGAAACGACUCCAACCCAAUGGCAGGCUGGCUUUGUAGAGCCAUUUUCUUUCCCUUAUUCAUUGUGCAUAUCUGCGGUAAAGGACUUGGAAACACUAGUUGAAGUUACAGCACAACAUUAUUAUGGUGAAGAUAAGAAAUGGAAUUUCAUAGCUGUUACAGAAGCAUUGAAGGUGUUAGUUAGAUUGGCGUUGUUCCGGAACAGUGGAUAUAAGAUGCUUCUGCAUGGAGGAGAGACGCCAAAUACUGAAAAGCAUUCAAAUUUAUCUUCUCAGCAAACUGUUGGAGGUUUCCUAAAGCCUGGAAACCAUGGGCCUAGUCAUUUACGAGGUAAUAAUGGACGGAAUCCAUGGAAUCCAGAAGGGAGGGCAUUGUCAGCAUUGAGUAGGUUUGGAGAAAAUGCUAGAAUGGUAUCUGACCGGGUAUGGUUGGGUAGGGUUCAACAUCAACAUGCAAUCAUAGAGCCUCCAUCUCCAGUGGUUCAGAGGAUGACACUUGCCACAAUAUUGUCUGAGAAAGGUUUACAUGGAGCACUAUUUGUCAUGGGGGAGGUGCUCUGUAUCACAAGACCCCUUAUUUAUGUUUUGUUUAUCAGAAAAUAUGGAAUUCGGUCAUGGACCCCUUGGUUUCUUUCUCUAGCUGUGGAUUUUAUUGGAAUAGGCUUUCUAACCCAAGCUACAAAGUCAAUGCAUGGUGGAAAAGGGCAACCAUUGCAUCUUACUGUCUCUGAAAUGGAUGAGGUUCAGGAUUUUAUCCUUGUAGUUUUUUAAUGCAUCCAGUUCAUUGGCAUUCAGGAUAUAUCUGGCAAUGUUUUGUUAAAAGUAAUUUUUUUUUCUGGGACCUUUUAGUCAUUGGUUGAUAGAUUUGUUACUAAAUAAGUGUUGAUUUUAUGUUUGAACCAGUUAAAAAGAAGAAAAUUGUUAUGGGCUCUUUACCUUAUGAGAGAUCCAUUCUUUAGCAAGUACACCAGGUACUGAUGUGUUUUGUGAAUUGCUUUCUAAUUCUUGCAAUGUCUUGGUUGGAAUAACCAAAGAAACAACAUUAUUGCUUGUUCAUUAUUUCAGGCAAAGACUUGAAAGCACUGAAAAACUACUGGAACCUGUUCCUAUUAUCGGGCUUCUAACAGCAAAAAUUGUUGAGCUUGUUAUUGGAGCUCAGACUCGUUACACUUACAUGUCAGGAUCAUGAGACAAAUCUGCAAGAAGUUAGUCUUGUGAUAUUUCUCAACCUUUUAGGUGAAGUAUACGGCCAAUUGUAGGACUUGAGAGUUUUGUUAUCCUAGAGUAUUCUGGACAUGGUUACUGCUGUCAAAUGACUUGGUCAUAUUCCAUCCGUGUCAUAAGUAGAAAUUCAACGAAGCUUUGUUUGAUGAAAACUAGGCUCAAAUAGUCUAAUAAGUUGAAAGAUGCAGAGUGCUCAAGAAUUAGAGUGUUGUGUGCUCAAGAUUGCUUUGGCGGUCUUCUUGAGUUUAGGCUAUGUAUAUGUAAACACUAUUACGUUGGUUUAUGGAGUAGAUGUAAAUGGCAUCAAGUAAACCCAGCCAAGGGUUGGUUCAGAAUCGGAAUUGAACGAAGUCAUUUCAAAAUGAUUGAUCAAAAUCAAAUUAAUUCAGAUUGAAAUAGGAUUAAAAUCAGCCUAUUUGAUUUGAAUCACAAACUGGAUUUUUCAAGAAAAUAAAAUUUUGGGAAAAAAAUUCAACCGUAGGAGUUGAUCAAACUGAAGCUAAAUUGGAACUAGACUGGAAUGGCAGAAUCAAAACUAGGGUGCCUGUGGUUUUGAUUGGACCUGUUAAUUUCACUUAGGUUCAACUCGUUGGUCAAGUCUAGCAUCAAGUGUUCGGCAUGAAAUUGGUGAAGUUACGAUUCUGAUUGCUUUCGUAGCAGUUGCUAUCUAUGUUCGACUCCAGCACAGUUAAUCCUGGGAAUUAAGAAACUAGUUGCCGUUGCUUAUCCAUUUUGCCAUACCGAGAAGCCCCAGUUCCACGUAUGUGUUGCUUAUGUAUAAUAAGGCUAUACGUAUAUCAUGCAGAGCACGGUUGAUCCUUCCCAUUUGAUAUUCAGCUUGUAAUGGUUGUAAUCUUGACGAAAAUAAAUGAGGGUUCUUUAGUGUGACAGUCAUGCCUCUUCUUAGACUAUGGUCUGAGGUUAGCAAUUGACGUCUUUGAUUUUAGACGCAAAUUUUUUUUUUUUUAUUAU